rnacentral:rRNA from 1 species
UGGGGAAUAUUGGACAAUGGGCGAAAGCCUGAUCCAGCCAUGCCUCGUGUGUGAAUAAUGUCUUCGGAUUGUAAAGCACUUUAAGUUGGGAGGAAGGGCAGUAAGCGAAUACCUUGCUGUUUUGACGUUACCGACAGAAUAAGCACCGUCUAACUCUGUGCCAGCAGCCGCGGUAAUACAGACGGUGCAAGCGUUAUUUGUAAUUACUGGGAGUAAAGCGCGCGUAGGUGGUUCGUUAAGUUGAAUGUGAAAGCCCCGGGCUCAACCUGGGAACUGCAUCCAAAACUGGCGAGAUAGAGUAGGGCAGAGGGUGGUGGAAUUUCCUGUGUAGCGGUGAAAUGCGUAGAUAUAGGAAGGAACACCAGUGGCGAAGGCGACAACCUGGGAUCAUACUGACAAUGAGGUGCGAAAGAGUGGGGAGCAAACAGG